CUUGCCCCUAGAUCUAAGAGUGCUCGAUCAAUGAAAUUAUUUCCUAAGACACAGGAGAUGGCGGGAGCACCAGGAUCUUUGAAUUUUGGAGGGGUGUUGUGUUGGAGAAUAGAACUCACUUGCUCAGUUAGGAAGACCUUUUUAGGCACAUAUGUCCUAUAUUUUCGCUUUUGGGUACAAAGGUCUUUGAGAAAUUUGGCAUAGGAGGGAACUUGUCUAAUAGCAUCAAGGAGUGGGAGGUUGAUUUUAACUUGUUUGAAAACCUCCAUCAUCUCCUCUAGUGAAGUUCCCUUUUUGCCAAAGGGAGAGGGUGAAUUAAGAGCUUCAG
rnacentral:lncRNA from 1 species